CCAAGAUGUCAACAACAUCCCCAGGAGAGCGUGAUCAGCAUGUGUCUGAAGCACUUUAUCAUGACUGAGAAGGCAUUGAAGUUCAGUGUCUUUAAGUUUAGUGCUUUUAACUGAGAGCCGGCCGGCGGAGCUGGUGGAGGCUGUUUACGAGCCCAGGGCGACGCAGGAAUAUAUUCAUUUUAAAGAGCCUCUGAUGGUCCACGCAGAGCACUGCGGUGCGCUCACUGCAGGCCCCAUCAAAAGAGCUUCCCUUCUGAGGCACACUGAUGAAUAUUCUGUGUGGCAACAGAAACUCUGACAAAGCCCCAAAAUGUGCCAUUUCAAUGUGUGAGAGUCCCUGGCAGCUCACCACUGCAAAAGAAGACAAGAAACCGGAGAGAGAGAGGCUCAUACCCUCAGCAACCCAUCGAGUGACGAGUCGUCGGAUGAAAGGCAGAUGGCCUGUCAGCCACAGGAAGUGGAGCGACGUUUGCAACAACAAAGUCAGCCACUCUUAGUCGGUUUCUGUGCAUGAAAGGAUGUUCUAGACCCUGUGAAGCCUGAGAUGUUUUCCUGUUCGGUUAUUUUUUUUUUUUUGGAGAUAAUGUUGUUGCAACGCCCUUUCCCCUGUGUCACCCCGUCUCACCUCGUCAGUCUGGGAUGCUGGGGUCCAUUUCCGCGGGAAGUUGCACACGCUGACUGAAACUUCUAGAACUUUGUAAUACAAUGUGUUUUUAAACAGCCCGACAUAUGGCUGCUUACAGAUCAUGUCGCACAUAACUUAAGUUUUUGUGUUUUACCUAGCUCCCCGGAUGGGAGGAACAGGUUGGGAGAAUUAAGAACUAAAGUAGGC
ensembl:lncRNA